rnacentral:tRNA from 1 species
CGGGAUGUAGCUCAGCUUGGUAGAGCGUCCGCUUUGGGAGCGGAAGGUCGCAGGGUCAAAUCCUGUCAUCCCGA